ACAUGUUAUGUCAGUCCACCCAUCUCAACAACGUACAUUCCGUACUCUGUCCUAUGCCCUACAAGUUUUUUUUUUCUUCUUCUUUCUUUUUUUAGAAAUCAAAGACUUUAGUUUUGUUUAAUCAAUUAGCUACUUUAUCUCUCUAUCUCAUAAUUAAUGAUUAAUUUAAAAUAAAAAUAUUUUAAAAUAAAUGAUUUAUAUCAAUUUUUAAUAUAUUUUUUAUUUUAUUUUUAAAUUAAUAUUAUUUUCAUGAUUUUUAAUAUAUAAUAAAAGUA
rnacentral:lncRNA from 1 species